AGCGGUAGAGAGAAGCUUGCUUCUCUUGAGAGCGGCGGACGGGUGAGUAAUGCCUAGGAAUCUGCCUGGUAGUGGGGGAUAACGUUCGGAAACGGACGCUAAUACCGCAUACGUCCUACGGGAGAAAGCAGGGGACCUUCGGGCCUUGCGCUAUCAGAUGAGCCUAGGUCGGAUUAGCUAGUUGGUGGGGUAAUGGCUCACCAAGGCGACGAUCCGUAACUGGUCUGAGAGGAUGAUCAGUCACACUGGAACUGAGACACGGUCCAGACUCCUACGGGAGGCAGCAGUGGGGAAUAUUGGACAAUGGGCGAAAGCCUGAUCCAGCCAUGCCGCGUGUGUGAAGAAGGUCUUCGGAUUGUAAAGCACUUUAAGUUGGGAGGAAGGGUUGUAGAUUAAUACUCUGCAAUUUUGACGUUACCGACAGAAUAAGCACCGGCUAACUCUGUG
rnacentral:rRNA from 1 species